rnacentral:rRNA from 1 species
UGGGGAAUUUUGGACAAUGGGCGAAAGCCUGAUCCAGCAAUGCCGCGUGUGUGAAGAAGGCCUUCGGGUUGUAAAGCACUUUUGUCCGGAAAGAAAUCCUCUGGGUUAAUACCUCGGGGGGAUGACGGUACCGGAAGAAUAAGCACCGGCUAACUACGUGCCAGCAGCCGCGGUAAUACGUAGGGUGCAAGCGUUAAUCGGAAUUACUGGGCGUAAAGCGUGCGCAGGCGGUUUUGUAAGACGGAUGUGAAAUCCCCGGGCUUAACCUGGGAACUGCAUUCGUGACUGCAAGGUUAGAGUAUGGCAGAGGGGGGUAGAAUUCCACGUGUAGGCAGUGAAAUGCGUAGAGAUGUGGAGGAAUACCGAUGGCGAAGGCAG